GAUUUUCAUAUUUUUUACUGUGGUGCAUGGUGCCAGAAAUUUUAGGGGGGGGGGGGAAGCCGUGAGCAGGUGACUGAAGCAUCACAAAGUGUUACCAUACCCCAGUAAGGUCUAUAUUCUAGAGGUGGAGCACUAGAGAUGUGAGGGGGAGUCUAGAGAGCAGAAAACAAAGUAUCCCUGGAGAAAUUUAAAAAAAAUCAUGAUUCCUAGCUUUGAAAAAGUUUUUUGAAGUGGUCAUAUCAAUGGAUUUGGCAUGUCCGAUUGUCUGAUGAGACUUGGGAGUGUUAAACGUAAAAUGAACCUAAUAGGCCAAUACACAAUAUGCUUUUACCAGUUUUAUAAAGUCAUUGACAUUGUGUCGUUUGAAUCCGAAUACAUUUUAUGAUGCAACUCCGAUGUAAAUAAUAAUUGGGGCAUAAAGAUUAAAUCUAGGCAAGUCUAUUUCCUAAAAGAAUUAAAAACUAAAAAUAAUGUUCGUAAAAAAUCCAAAUGUUCCUUCCGAGCAAGCUAUUUGCAUGAGAAGGCACUGCAAACUCUAUUCAGGGGAG